AUACUUACCUACUCGGGGCAUUUUCUUGAUCACGAAGAAGAAGAGCCUGCCGGCCCUCUCCGCAUUGCACCGCGCCGAGAGUGCGCUGGCAUGCAGUGGCUUCGGCUAUGGCACCGGGACAAUUUUUGAUGGCGAGCCCUCU
rnacentral:snRNA from 14 species